GCCGUAGGCAUGGACGCAAAAUGCACCCAACCACCCUCCUCCGCCCUGAAACUCCGACGAACCACCAGCGCCGAUGGUAGUGGAACCGGAACCAUCAUACUCGGCAAGUAUCAACUUGGCCGUCUUUUAGGCCGUGGUAGCUUCGCUAAAGUCUACCACGGCCGUUGUUUAAACAAUAAUAGUAACAUCGCCAUUAAAGUUAUUGACAAAACCUCCAUUUCGGAUCCUUCAAUGGAGCCUCGGAUCAUCCGCGAAGUCUCCGUUAUGACACGUGUCAAUGAUCAUCCCAACAUCAUC
rnacentral:lncRNA from 1 species